rnacentral:rRNA from 1 species
UGAGGAAUAUUGGUCAAUGGACGAAAGUCUGAACCAGCCAUGCCGCGUGAAGGAAUAAGGCCCUAUGGGUCGUAAACUUCUUUUGUAUGUGAGCAAUAAGGUCCACGUGUGGACCGAUGAGAGUAGCAUACGAAUAAGCAUCGGCUAACUCCGUGCCAGCAGCCGCGGUAAUACGGAAGGUCCGGGCGUUAUCCGGAUUUAUUGGGUUUAAAGGGAGCGUAGGCUGGAGAUUAAGCGUGUUGUGAAAUGCCGCGGCUCAACCGUGGCACUGCAGCGCGAACUGGUUUCCUUGAGUGCGCUGAAAGUGGGCGGAAUUUGUGGUGUAGCGGUGAAAUGCUUAGAUAUCACGAAGAACUCCGAUUGCGAAGGCAGCUCACUGUAUCGCGACUGACGCUGAAGCUCGAAAGUGCGGGUAU